ACUACGGGAGGCAGCAGUCGAGAAUCAUUCACAAUGGGGGAAACCCUGAUGGUGCGACGCCGCGUGGGGGAAUGAAGGUCUUCGGAUUGUAAACCCCUGUCAUGUGGGAGCAAAUUAAAAAGAUAGUACCACAAGAGGAAGAGACGGCUAACUCUGUGCCAGCAGCCGCGGUAAUACAGAGGUCUCAAGCGUUGUUCGGAAUCACUGGGCGUAAAGCGUGCGGAGGCUGUUUCGUAAGUCGGGUGUGAAAGGUGCGGGCGGAACCCGCGGACGGCACAUGAUACUGCGAGACUAGAGUAAUGGAGGGGGAAGCGGAAUUCUAGGUGUAGCAGUGAAAUGAGUAGAUAUCGGGAGGAACACUCGUGGCGAAGGCGGGUUCCUGGACAUUGACUGACGCUGAGGCGCGAAGGCCAGGGGAGCGAAAGGGAUUAGAUACCCUAGUAGUC
rnacentral:rRNA from 1 species